rnacentral:rRNA from 1 species
GACGAACGCUGGCGGCGUGCUUAACACAUGCAAGUCGAACGGACAGGCCCUGCUUUUGUGGGGUGCUCGAGUGGCGCACGGGUGAGUAACACGUGAGUAACCUGCCCUUGACUUUGGGAUAACUUCUGGAAACUGGGGCUAAUACCGGAUAGGAGCUCCUGCUGCAUGGUGGUGGUUGGAAAGAUUCGGCGGUUGGGGCUCGUCUGGCAGGUUCUCCGCCUGUUGGUGGGGUAGUGGCUUACCAAGUCUUUGACGGGUAGCCUGCGUGGGAGGUGGACCGGGCACAAUGGUACUGAGGUACGGCGCAGAAGCGUACGGUAGGCAACGGGGGAAAAUAUUGCGCAAUGGGCGGAAGCCUGAUGCAACAGCGUCGGGUGCGGGAUAACGGCCUUCGGGUUGAAAACCGCUUUCUCCUGUGACGAAGCGUGAGUGACGGUAAUGGGUAAAGAAGCACCGGCUAACUACGUG